GCGGCAAUGGUGGUGACGGGUUCGGCGUGGGCCGG
rnacentral:sRNA from 1 species